GGUCGGGGUGCCGGAGCCGCUUUACUCGGGGUCGGGGUCGGGGUGCCGGAGCCGCUUUACUCGGGGUCAGGGUCAGGGUGCUGGAGCCGCUUUACUCGGGGUCGGGGUCGGGGUGCCGGAGCCGCUUUACUCGGGGUCGGGGUCGGGGUGCCGGAGCCGCUUUACUCGGGGUCGGGGUCGGGGUGCUGGAGCCCCUCCCGUGGGGUCAGGGUCGGGGUCGGGGUGCUGGAGCCCCUCCCGCGGGGUCAGGGUCGGGGUCGGGGUGAUGGAGCUCCCUCGUGGGGCCGGGGUCAGGGUCGGGGUGCCGGAGCCGCUUUACUCGGGGUUGGGAUGAUGGAGCCCCUCCCGCAGGGUCAGGGUCUGGGUCGGGGUGCCGGAGCCCUCCUUCGUGGGGUUGGGGUCGGGGUGGCCUGCGUCUGAGGGGCGAGGCUGGGGUCCGGAGUCCGGGUGGCCUGCGUCCGCGGGGCGAGGCCGGGGUCCGGCUCCAGGUGGCCGGUGUCCGAGGAGCGAGGUUGGGGUCCGGGUCCGGGGUCCGGGCGGCCUGCGUCUGCGGGGCGAGGCUGGGGUCCGGCUCCGGGGUUCGGGCGGCCUGCGUCCGCGGGGCAAGGCUGGGGUCCGGGUCCGGGAGGCCUGCGUCCGCGGGGCGAGGCCGGGGUCCGGCUCCGGGAGGCCCGCGUCCGAGGGGCGAGGCCGGGGUCCGGGGUCCGGCUCCGGGUGGCUGCGUCCGAGGGGCGAGGCUGGGGUCUGGGGUCCGGGGUUCAGGCGGCCUGCGUCCGAGGGGCGAGGCGCGAGGCCGGGGUCCGGCUCCGGGUGCCUGCGUCUGAGGGCGAGGC
rnacentral:lncRNA from 1 species